UAUGAGCUAGCAUCUGAAAAGAGGAUCUCUUUUGUAUGAAGGCUGCUUCUUGAGAAGAAAGAGUUUGUAGUUAGAUACUCUAUCAUCAGUUUGGUGAAUCAAUCUUUUCCAGUAUGUAUUUAUUGAUAUUCCUAAUGGUACUUUGUCUGGUAUUGUAAAGAAUUUAUCAGAAGAAAAUGUACUUCUUCCAAAAUGUUUCUUCCAAGAGCUGAUUAUAUCUUAGUAUUGCUUGUUGUCCCAGUUUCUUUUUUUGCAUACUGGCUUGGAAGUAGAUCAAGUAGAACUGAAAUGAAGCAAGUUUAAAACCAUGCGGAUCAAUGCCCAAACGGAGGAAAAGAAAAGAAAGAUCUGGUGUGGAUCCUAAUCUGACGUGACUGCAUAAAUCAAGAGCAGUGUUAUGGAUGACUGUAGACUCACACUGGAAUAAUAGCAAGUAAGUGAAAGAAGAGCUACCUCUGCUGACAGUCAGAGAUUCCAAAGAGAAUCCCUAACUAUACACACACUUUUAUUGACUGUGUUGUGUAGGAGGGGACUGAAAUGAAUGCAUAUCAGGUGAAGAGAGGGCAGAAGGGGCAUAUGCCUGAGGGUGCUGAAGUAUCACUGCAUCACUGUCAAUUAAAAUUUGCAUUAGUACUUGUAGUCUGUUACAGUUGAGAUUUUAACAAUUAAUUUGAUGAAGUAAUUCUUAUGAACUUCCUCUCUAAUGUACAGAAUCUUCAUGUAUUUUAUUUUACUAAUAUCUGUAUUGCAAACAUUGCAAGUGUGUGCCAAUACCCCUGUGAAUAGCAGUUCAACAAGACCAUGAGGGAAAACAAAUGUUUACAAAUGGUAAGACUUGGUCUGCAUCUUCCACUAUUCUCCUAUACCCAGUUUUGGACGAAACUGAAGGGGAACUUAUUUGAUGAUCGUCUGUGUGUGUGGCUGUAAUUCACACCGAAUUCACACUGAAGCUUUCUCAGAGCAUUUCCAUCAGCCUGGAACUUGGAAAUUUAAAUUAAGAUAAAUAAUAAUGUCUUUAAUGUCAUUCAUUAUUUGACAAAGGUUAGGGAAAUUAAAAUCCUUCUUAGUUUUUCUGCUAAAAGAAACAAAGAGAAAAAUUUGCAAGUGUAAAGAAUGUUCUUAGUAGUUCCAUAUUGGAUUCCUCCUUCAGAUGAAUGAAUGAAGUUUAUGGUGGGAAGGUACAGAAUGCAUGGUUUUUGAAAAUCCAGCAAUUUUAGGAUCACAAUAAUUAUCAAAUUUCUUUCUCAUAAGUCACGGCCAUAUUUUUCUCCUCUGCUGCUUUUUCCUCUCUUUACUGGUGUAAAAGA